rnacentral:rRNA from 1 species
UACGAAGGGGGCUAGCGUUGCUCGGAAUCACUGGGCGUAAAGGGUGCGUAGGCGGGUCUUUAAGUCAGGGGUGAAAUCCUGGAGCUCAACUCCAGAACUGCCUUUGAUACUGAGGAUAUUGAGUUCGGGAGAGGUGAGUGGAACUGCGAGUGUAGAGGGUGAAAUUCGUAGAUAUUCGCAAGAACACCAGUGGCGAAGGCGGCUCACUGGCCCGAUACUGACGCUGAGGCACGAAAGCGUGGGGAGCA